rnacentral:rRNA from 1 species
AGAGUUUGAUCCUGGCUCAGAAUCAACGCUGGCGGCGUGCCUCAGACAUGCAAGUCGAACGAUUAAAGCUCCCUUCGGGGAGUGCAUAAAGUGGCGCACGGGUGAGUAACACGUAAGUAAUCUACCCUCGGGUGGGGAAUAACGUUCGGAAACGGACGCUAAUACCGCAUAAUGCAGCGGCACCGCAAGGUGACAGUUGUUAAAGAUUUAUUGCCUGGGGAGGAGCUUGCGGCAGAUUAGCUUGUUGGUAAGGUAACGGCUUACCAAGGCUACGAUCUGUAUCCGGUCUAAGAGGACGGUCGGACACACUGACACUGAAUAACGGGUCAGACUCCUACGGGAGGCAGCAGUCGGGAAUUUUGGGCAAUGGGGGAAACCCUGACCCAGCAACGCCGCGUGAAGGAUGAAGUAUUUCGGUAUGUAAACUUCGAAAGAAUAGGAAGAAUUAAUGACGGUACUAUUUAUAAGGUCCGGCUAACUACGUGCCAGCAGCCGCGGUAAUAC